CCUACGGGUGACAGCAGUAGGGAAUAUUGCUCAAUGGGGGAAACCCUGAAGCAGCAACGCCGCGUGGAGGAUGAAGGUCUUCGGAUUGUAAACUCCUUUUGUUAGAGAAGAUAAUGACGGUAUCUAACGAAUAAGCACCGGCUAACUCCGUGCCAGAAGCCGCGGUAAUACGGAGGGUGCAAGCGUUACUCGGAAUCACUGGGCGUAAAGGGCGCGUAGGCGGGAUAGCAAGUCAGAUGUGAAAUCCUAUGGCUUAACCAUAGAACUGCAUUUGAAACUGUUAUUCUAGAGUAUGGGAGAGGUAGGUGGAAUUCUUGGUGUAGGGGUAAAAUCCGUAGAGAUCAAGAGGAAUACUCAUUGCGAAGGCGACCUGCUAGAACAUAACUGACGCUGAUGCGCGAAAGCGUGGGGAGCAAACAGGAUUAGAUACCCCUGUAGUC
rnacentral:rRNA from 1 species